GUAAAACUCAUUGUUCUCUCCUUUGUACUCUUAUGCAUUUUAUUGACUUAAAUUGUAGAACUGGUGAAUUAUACUUUUCUGUUCUUUUUUUGUUUUCACAUAUCUCUACCAUUUCUUGAAUAUAGGCCAGAACCUGUCUUCCAUGUAUAUUUUCUGCUUCUCCCAGGAUAGUGCCUAUGAUUUGAUAGAUACAGUGUAUGUUUUUUCUUGUUGUUCUCUUUUGUCUUACUGAUAAAUUGUGUGAGUGAAUAAACACAUUUUUUUCCGGAAGUUUUUUGUUGUUGUUGUUGCUUUUGUUUAUUGUUUGUAAUAGGAGGAAGCAACAAAGACAGUAACUGGACAACACGAAAAUGAUAUUGACAUUAUUGAACAAGCUCCAGAAGAUCAAACAAAUAAGAUACCCACAUCAGAAUCAAGACAAAAAGAAGAUACAGAAUCUUCAGAUUCUGAGAUUAUCUCUGUGAGUGAUACACAGAAUUAUGUGUGUUUAACUGAGGCUACAUA